AUACAGGAGGAGAUCGAGAAAAGGAUUGCAGAGAUACUAGGUCCAAAGACGGAAGCUGACAAUGUAAAACCAGUAAAAAAGAAGAAAGAAAAAGCAGCAAAAGCUGAGGAGAAAAAGGUUGCGGUAGCUACUGCUGCCCCACCGUCUGAGGAACUGAAUCCAUACUCACAUUUUCCUGAGUCAGCAGAAAACAACAAGGUUCAUACAGAAAUAUUCUUCAGCAAUGGGAACAUAUGGAGGGCGCAUAACACAAAGGAGAUUUUAGAGAAACAUCUUAUGGCAACUGGUGGAAAGACGACCCGUUUCCCUCCAGAACCUAAUGGAUAUCUUCAUAUCGGUCAUGCCAAGGCUAUGUUUAUUGAUUUUGGACUGGCUAAAGAGCGGAAUGGCUAUUGUUUCCUUAGGUUUGAUGACACAAACCCUGAAGCUGAAAAGAAGGAAUAUAUAGACCACAUCCAGGAGAUAGUUCAUUGGCUGGGAUGGGAGCCCUAUAAAGUUACAUAUACAAGUGAUUAUUUUCAAGCUUUGUAUGAGCAUGCAGUUGAGUUAAUACGGAAAGGGCUGGCCUAUGUAGAUCACCAGACUGCAGAGCAGAUCAGGGAAGGCAGGGAAAAUAGCUUGGAUAGUCCAUGGAGGGAUAGACCUAUUGAAGAGUCACUACGGUUAUUUGAAGACAUGCGGCGUGGGUUAAUUGCUGAGGGCGCAGCAACUCUGCGAAUGAAGCAGGACAUGCAGAAUGAUACCAGAAACAUGUACGACUUGAUUGCAUACAGAAUAAAAUUCACCCCUCAUCCACAUGCUGGUGACAAAUGGUGUAUAUAUCCAAGCUACGAUUAUGCCCAUUGCAUGGUGGAUUCACUUGAAAACAUUACUCAUUCGCUGUGCACGCUUGAGUUUGACGUACGACGUCCGUCGUACUACUGUGUACUUGUUGCCUUGGGCUUGUACCAGCCGUAUGUUUGGGAGUAUUCAAGGCUGAACAUAUCACAUAAUGUUAUGUCUAAAAGAAAGUUGAAUCGGCUUGUGACAGAGAAGUGGGUAGAUGGGUGGGAUGAUCCUCGUUUGUUAACACUGGCAGGACUGCGGCGACGGGGGGUGUCAGCAGCUGCAAUUAAUUCAUUUAUCCGUGGAAUGGGGAUAACAAGAAGUGACAAUAGCUUAAUUCCUUUCGAACGUCUUGAAUAUCACAUCAGAGAAGAACUUAACAAAACAGCUUCUCGAGCCAUGGUUGUUCUGCAUCCUCUAAAGGUUGUAAUAACUAACUUGGAAGAUGGAAAAGUCAUAGACCUUGAUGGAAAGAAGUGGCCUGAUGCUCCUGCUGAUGAAGCUUCGUCCUACCACAAGGUUGCGUUCUCAAGAACUGUCUACAUUGAAAAAACUGAUUUUCGCCUCGAGGACUCGAAAGACUAUUAUGGGCUAGCUCCUGGUAAAUCCGCCCUGCUAAGGUAUGCGUUCCCGAUAAAAUGCACAGAGUUUAUUUAUGGUGAUAAUCCAGAAGACAUUGUUGAGAUUCGAGCUGAGUAUGACCCCUCAAAGACUUCUAAACCCAAGGGUGUUCUGCACUGGGUUGCCGAGCCAGCGCCUGGAGUCGAGCCGCUAAAGGCCGAAAUAAGACUGUUUGAGAAGCUGUUCUUAUCAGAGAAUCCUGCCGGGCUGGAGGCCUGGCUGCGCGAUCUCAACUCGCACUCGAAGGAGGUUGUGAAGGGUGCGUACGCCGUGCCAUCGCUUGCGACCGCGGUUGUGGGCGACGAGUUCCAGUUUGAGCGGCUCGGCUACUUUGCCGUGGACACGGACUCGACGCCCGAGAAGCUCGUGUUCAACAGGACCGUCACGCCGCGCGACUCGUAUGGCAAGGCCGGGGGACCCAGGUGA
rnacentral:rRNA from 1 species